rnacentral:rRNA from 1 species
CAGAGGGUGCAAGCGUUGUUCGGAAUUAUUGGGCGUAAGGCGCGUGUAGGCGGCUUUGCAAGUCGGGUGUGAAAGCCCUCAGCUUAACUGAGGAAGUGCGCCCGAAACUGCUUGGCUUGAGUACCGGAGAGGAUGGCGGAAUUCCCCAAGUAGAGGUGAAAUUCGUAGAUAUGGGGAGGAACACCGGUGGCGAAGGCGGCCAUCUGGACGGAUACUGACGCUGAGACGCGAAAGCGUGGGUAGCAAACAGGAUUAGAUACCCUGGUAGUCCACGCCGUAAACGAUGAGAACUAGGUGUCGUGGGUGUUGACCCCCGCGGUGCCGUAGCUAACGCAUUAAGUUCUCCGCCUGGGAAGUACGGCCGCAAGGCUA